GAGACACGUGAGAUUACCUGGG
rnacentral:siRNA from 1 species